UCUGUGUCAGAAACCUAUGCUGUGUCAAAUAUUUAAUCACAAUCCAAAUGCAGUGCUGUAUCAAGCUUGAAUGUUGUGUCUAUACUUGCCCCAACUGUUCAGGGUUCGACCUCUGCGGUCGUAUCAAGCUGCGCCCAACAGAGCAUUUUAUUCAUUUUAUCAGAUAUUAUAAGCAUAUGUCUACUUGUUGGUGUAUGGAAUGACUGCAAGGUGUCAUAUAAAAAUAAGAAGAUGUCUGUCUGCCAAGUUUAAUAUGACUGUGACCUCAUUUUCAUAGAAUAUUGAUAAUAUCAAGCAAAAAUGAUGAGCAAGACAAGAUACAAAUGAUCCAAAAUUGUCAGUUGCCUACUCAUUAUGUAAUAGUAGUUAUUUUUAUUAAAUGAUAAUGUUUACCCUUUAAUGUGUAGGGCAAGAACAUUAAAGAUAAAGGGAAACUAUAAACAAAAGAAAUUAUCAACAAAAAUAGAUUUACAGACGUCAACAAAGCCUAAAUGGUCAGACAUCUUGGUUUUCAUGAUCAUCAUUCAACAGGUCAAUACUGAACAGCAAACUUAAAGUUGAUAUUUUUCUACAUAGUGUGACUUUUUUAUUAAUUUGAAAUGGAAUGUGUUUUUUUUUCCUACAUAAGAAAGAGGAAAUUUCAACAUAAUGACUAUAAACAAAAAGGAGUCAUAUCAUCAUGAUCAUAGAUGCUCAAGAACUUAAUCAUGUAAAUGCAACAAUGUAAUUAUCAAUUGAAAGAAGGGAGGAAUGAAAAAAUAUAAUAGUAUUUUGUUGUCCAAAUGAACUUGCUUUGUCCACUCAUUUAAAUCGCUCCAUCCAAUAAAGAUGUACAGAGGAAGAUUUUUGAAGAACAGAUUGCAAAAAUGUUUUGUCUAAGAAUUGUAGCAAUAUUCUAGUGGAUGAAAUAAUUUAUUUACUUGACUCUUAUAUAGUGGACUGAAUAAUUGUUCAUAGCAAGCUGAAACAAGAAAACUAAAACUUAACAGGAAAAGUGUUUAUUUUAUAAAUUUACAAAUAUAAAUGUAAUAUUAUGAACACCACAAAGGAAUAAGAUUCAAAUCGUUUGCAUAUUCAUGUAUUCAGUCAGAAUAUGAAAUAUUUUUUUCAGUUCUAUUUUUCAUAAUAAAACAAAGAAGACAAAGAU